CGACAAGGGGCUCUACCGGGACCAGAUGCUGAGGAACUACCGCGCGCUCGUGUCCCUGGGAUACCAAGGUCCCACACCAGACUUAAUCUGCCGCAUCCAGCGAGGGGAAGUGGAGCUCUGGGCCCAUGAUGAUGAGGACCCUGGAGAGAGUGCAUUUUUUGAGGGCCUGUCCCCGGGGCUGUGGCAAUGCCAUUCCUUUCAGCAAUGCCUCCUGUCACCUUCCUCUGAAAAUUUGAGCCUCACACACCUUGGUGAGGGGGAAGAUUCCUCUGAUAUGGAAGACACCUGGGACUUGUCUGCAGAGGAAAUUGCUGUGGACUCAUUCCCCGGGCCAGACUCUUCCCAGCAAGCAGGUUUUGAGACGCUGAGCAGAGCUGAGCAGCAGUCUCUUGAGGAAGAGCCUGCAAACCUGGAACUGGUUUCAGCCACAAACCAGCUACCUGCACAGUGCGUUCAGAGAACAGCUGAGCCACAAAUGAGCCCUGUGUAUAAGGAAGAAUUGAAAGAGCAGGGAAACCCAAGGAGCCCUGAGGGCAGCACUCACAGCGGGGAGGUGUCGUAUAUAUGUGGAGAGUGUGGUGAGAGCUUCUGGGGCCAACAGGAACUGAGAGUGCACCGGGUGACCCACCAGCUGGAGUCUGGCCACCCCUGCGCUGUGUGUGGGAAGAGCUUCCGCUACAAAUCACGUCUUGCCGAGCAUCAGAGGACGCACUCGGGAGAGCACCCCCACCCCUGCCCGGACUGCGGGAAGCGCUUCGCCCGCCCAUCCCACCUGCGCGUGCAUCAGCGCGUGCACACGGGGGAGAAGCCGUACGGCUGCCCCGACUGCGAGAAGAGCUUCAACCACUUGUUCCACCUCCAGGUCCACCUGCGUGUGCACACUGGGGAGAAGCCGUACCACUGUGGGGAGUGUGGGAAGAGCUUCAACGACCCAUCCUACUUCCGCGUGCACCAGCGCCUACACAGCGGGGAGCAGCCAUAUCAGUGCACAGUGUGCGGGAAAAGGUUCCGGCAGAGCUCUGCACUCGCCAAGCACCGACGUGUGCACCGCGCAGAGACGGCACAGCACUGUGCAGAGUGUGGGAAGAGUUUCACGGACCCAUCUUACCUGUUGGUGCACCAGCGCCUGCACACGGGGGAGAGGCCACACCGCUGCGAACAGUGUGGGAAGAGCUUCAAAGACCCGUCCUACCUGCGCGUGCACCAGCGUCUGCACAGCGGGGAAAAGCCUCACUGCUGCCCCGACUGUGGGAGGAGCUUCAGCAACCCAUCCCACCUGCGCGUACACCUGCGCCUGCACACUGGGGAGAAGCCAUUCAUCUGCACACAAUGUGGCACAAGCUUCAGGCACAGGACCUCUCUCACUAGCCAUGAGCGCACGCACACAGGGCAGAAGCCAUACCCCUGCGCCACGUGUGGGCUGAGCUUCAGGACCAGCUCCUCUCUUACCAACCACCAGCGUGUGCACACUGGGGAGCAACCGUACCACUGCACUCAGUGCACGAAGAGCUUCAGGCAUCGCUCUUCACUCACCAAGCACCAGCGAACCCAUGGGUCGGACCCUCAGCAUUCACACUGGUCAGCUUCUGUGAGCUCUUGCCUUGCCUCUUCCUCAUAGUCUGCACUCUGAAGAGGGGGUGAGGGGAGGUCCAUACCUCAUGUGAAAUGCUGCUACUUCCCCACUACAGGCUGGGUUUGCGUGGCUUUGGGAAUGGGAGCAUUUCCCCAUAAAUGGGUCGUGGUUGGAGUUACAAGCUGCAUUUGGGAUGGGGGGUGGGGCAAGUGGGCUUAGGCUUCUGCCACAGGAGCUCUGGUUUCUCCCACUAAGUUGCCCAUGUUGCACUUAGUGAUGCCCUUUAAUGUUGCUGCUGGGCGUUGUCUGAGGUGGUGAAAUUUAGGGGCUUUGGAAUUCAGUGUUGUGUUUGUUGGGAGGAGGGGGAAGAGUUGGUUGUGCUUCUUGGAGAACGGUGACAGCAGCAGCCCCUCUGCAGAAAAGCGACUGCCGGACUGGAGGGGGCCUUGGGAAAAGAUGGGGGAAUCCCCCCUGAAGAUGAUGGGAGUUGGGACAACUAUGAGUGUAGCGGUGAAGUUUAGAAAGGUUUCUCAUAUUGGGGUGAGUGGCAAUUGGGCUGUGGUUGGGAUGGGCUGGAACAGACCAACAAUCCCCAGUCGACAGAGCAGCCUCCACAGCAGGUGCUUUUCUGGACCAAUUGUUUCAGCUGGGAGGUGGGAAUUUCCUCUCUACCUGGCCUAGCCACAUUGGUAAAACCCCAGGCAUUUUUACACGUACCUUUUCAUGCAGAGAAGCACCGGAGAUCCAUACCUGCAUGUGAGCUGAUGUGCACUGCAUCAUAUACAGUUGUGUAAGUGGCGAAAUGUGCGUCAGCAUGCAAAAGAUGUCAGCGGUGCAUUUUUAAACUAAUGCACCUUCGAUGUGCUUUAUUUCAAAAGCACGCUGCCACCAUUUUCUCAAUGCUGCAGCACUGGAAAAGCGCCGGGCACUGCGGCGCAAGUUUUGUACAAAUGUCCCCAGUGUCACAGCCCAUCUUCCCCACUGCUGCCAGCACCCUGAACAGCCACCCAGUGCCCCACUUGGCUCUUCCCCACAGCCAGCUGUGCCUGAGCUCUGCCUCUUUCCCAGGCUCCAGGCCUGAGUAUAUGCAGGGAGGAUGGGUGAGGCUAGAGCAGGAGUAUAGCCCUUAUGGCCUGCUGAUCUAAGCAGGGUGGAGCAGUGUGCCUAGAAUAGAUGGGGAGUUAGGAGACACAAGGGGUUUUUUAGGAGCAUGCUUCCGGACAGAUGGAGGUUUGGGCAGGUCUGGAUGAUAGGGGGUCAUGGAGGGGCUGCUAAGGUCAGGAAAGGUUAUGGAGGGGAAUGGGGUGGUGGUGUGGGGGAAUCGCCUGCCUGUCCUUCACCACAUUUAUGGGAAUGACCUCUUUGAAGCUUUUCCCUCAUUUUUUUUCUUAUCUUUGGCCCAUGUCUCCAGUCUACAUUUUUCUGACAGCUUCUGGGAAAUGUUUUUGCUCUCUGUCGCCUUGCUUUUGCCCUGGCCAAAACCAGAAGCCUCCCGUUGUGACGAAUUCAUAGAAUCAUAGAAGUAGGGUCAGAAGGGACCUUGUAGAUCUUCAAGUCCGACCCCCUACCUGGGCAGGAGGAAAACUGGGCUCAAACGGCCCCAGCCAGGUAGGCAUCAAGCCUCUUCUUAAAGACCCUUGAUGCCCUUGAAUUCACAAACUCCAUGCUGCCUGCCCCCAGAGGAAGGGGUAAUUCAGUCAUGCAAGGUUCAGUCCUAGAGCUGGUGGGACAGGACGCCUCUGGGAGGGGAACAGCAAAGGGUGGAUCAGCAGUGAAUUGUGCAGAGCUCUGCAAACUGUCUUCUAAUUGUUCUGAAUUUCCUCUUAUGUAUUUUGGAUGUAAAUCCUGAACUGGAAAUGCUUGCAGGGAAACGAUUUUUGGUUAACUAAAGGGGCCAUUGAUUUAAAAAAAGAAAGAAAAAAUCUUUCCAGACAGAGUAACUGAAAAUACUGAAAAAGGCUCUGACCAGAGAGGAAAUAGUUCCUGAAAACUGAAUUGAAAAGCAAACAUCAUAAUGAAAACUAACCAUGGAUUUUUUGUGGGGGCUAGAAACCUCCGCCUAGGUGGCCCAAGUGGACUGUUUCCCAUAGAAAUGGGUGUGUAUUUGGGUUUUUUUUGUCUUCAAACACUAAAUUCUUAGAUGAAGAAAAGUAUUGGUCAGCUUUUUAUUUUAAAAUUCAAAGUGCUACCUGUGUCUCUAGGAGAGAAGGGGGCAGCCAAGGGGACGCAGAGUUGUCCCGACUGAGGAGUGAACUGGACCAGGGUGUAAAUUGCUGGCCUGCAAUUGCCCCUUCUCUAAUCAUGGCCACUUCUGCUCCUUUUCCGGCCCCGUGGCCCAUGUAGGUGCCCCACCUCACAACCUGAAGCACAGGUGUUGCAUGCAAACAUGCUCAGAUUCACUUGUAAACUUAUGUCGUUAAUAGAACAAAACUAGUGUGCUGACAGUACGUGCAUGAAUUGGCUACAGUGGCAUCUUGGUAUAAAAAGAAAUCUCAGACGCACAUUCUAUAAAACUGUUUGAAUCCCAAUUCAGAAUUUAAGCUGCCUAUACAUGUGUUUGGGGGUGGGGGUGUUUUAUUUAGAGUGGUUCCUAGGUAGCCGCUCUAAUUAAAAUGCCUCACCAUCGGGUGCAUAAGCCCCUUCAGCUAUGAAAAUGGCCAUGGGAUGCUUUAUCUAAACCAGCAGUUCCCAAACUCUGAUAGAUUGCACACCACCAAUUUAAAAUGCUACAACCUUAAGUGCCACCAGCAAAUCUUUGUCAUAUACAAUUAUAACAAAUCUGUUAAUGUGUACCACUAGUGGUCCCCAUACCACAGGAUGGGAUCUGCUGUUCUAAACCUCAUUCAACAAACAUUAGAUAAAACACCCCACCAGCCACUUCUAAACCUUCAGUGGCUUAUACAUGUGACGAUGAGGCCACGCUGGAGCAUUGUGAUUAGAAAGCAGAGCAGACUCGAUUAGACUGCUCUGAUGCGUUAUAAUUAAAACACGAACCAGCACAUGUAUUGGGCACCCUUAAUGCUUGUAUGGGUGGUUGUAGUUUUAAACUGCUGUGUUUUAACUGGCAAGUACUACUUGAAUGUGUUUAGGUUUUAAGUAUAAACGAGUGGUUCUCAUCCUUAUUAGACUUGAGGCACCCCUUGGAAAGUAGCAGCUCUUAGUUUUUCACUAAUUAUUUUACUAUGGAAAAAUAAUUGAGCAGUUUUUUGUAGCAGAAUUUGGGCCACAGCAGGGCAGAAUGUUUUCAUACUAUGGAUUCCUGUUUGAAAUCUCUGGAUUUAUCUUCUGAAUCAUGUUUGCACACCUAAUCAUGGUAAUGUUGCAUGGUGCCCUGCGGCACCCCUGAGAGGAUCUGAAGGCUCCCUAGAGUGAUGCAGCACCCUGCUGGAGAAUUGCUGAUAUAAUCAAAUGGUUCUGUGUUUGCAGGGUAGCUACUAGGUCUUUCUACGAAACUGUCACUUCUUGUGCUUGUCAGCCUUUAUUAAUCCUUUUGGUUUUAUCUUCAGUUCAUGAAAGUGAUUUUGCAUUUCAUACAAGCCCUAAAUUGACAGGUCUUAGCCCACCUGAAUAGUUUUCUUCCAUUUUUCCCCCUACAGUUAACCAAGAGAUGCAUGUAGUACAUAAUCUGACUGCAAUGAUGCUUUCCACACAUUUCCAGAAGAAAGUCAUUUAAAGAUCCUGAUUCCUUGUUAACAGAGUUGUGACUUAGGGAAGCAAAUGAAAGGUGUUUGAGGUGCAAGAAUCGCGAACUUCCCAUUUGAGAAGGACAAGAGCUGGUGAAGAAUGCAUGGUUUGAUUAAAACAGGCCUUAGACCUUCAGGUCGAAAGUGUUCAUCUGAGAGUUGGUGUGAACACAGCGGUGGGCGCUGGGCAGGGCUGUCCUCCUGCACUGAUGGGCAGCAUCGUGCCAGGCUGCCUGGAUCCUAGCAUCAGCUUCUCCCUGCUAGCCACUUUGACACCUGCUGCCCCACUCCAACUUCUGUGCCAAGUAUCACCUGUGGACCCCCCACCCUAAAGUAGCAUUAACCCCUCUCUGGCCUUAAGGGCCCUUUUCUACUGUCUGCCCUCUUCUGCCUGUCCUAAGGGAACAGCACCAUGCACCUGGGGGGCUACAGGAAUGUCCUGCCCCGGACAAGCUGACACCAGCACCCAGCAGAACCGGACUGGCACUGGCUGAACAUCCGUGGGGCUGUCAGACUUCUGAUUGGGGUGGGGAUUGGUCCAAUAAAAUAAAAUGAAAAUCUAA